rnacentral:snRNA from 1 species
GGAUGUGAGGGCCAUCUGGCUGCAACACAUCACCCCGCUGAUCGCCAGGGAUGGUUCGGCUGAUCUGGCUGGCUCCUGAUUCGGCGGGUGUCCCCUUCCUCCCUCAACGAUCCAUGUGUGUCCCUCCCAAAGCUGCGUGCUUGGUCGAAAAGGACGACCACCCCCGACAGAGGAGGACCGUCUCUUGGUCCAGGGUGGGCUGGCACUGGCGCUGCACGCCUUGGUAUACGAGUAGCUGCGCUCCCCUCUAGAACCUCCAAACGAGCUCUCAAAGUAGCUGCUCAGACUGCAAGAUAUAGGCAUGCAUAAUCAAACAUUAUAAGCAGAAACUGAUUUUUU